CCUACGGGUGGCAGCAGUGAGGAAUAUUGGUCAAUGGACGAGAGUCUGAACCAGCCAAGUAGCGUGAAGGAUGACUGCCCUAUGGGUUGUAAACUUCUUUUAUAUGGGAAUAAAACGUUCCACGUGUGGGAUUUUGUAUGUACCAUAUGAAUAAGGAUCAGCUAACUCCGUGCCAGCAGCCGCGGUAAUACGGAGGAUCCGAGCGUUAUCCGGAUUUAUUGGGUUUAAAGGGAGCGUAGGUGGAUUGUUAAGUCAGUUGUGAAAGUUUGCGGCUCAACCGUAAAAUUGCAGUUGAAACUGGCAGUCUUGAGUACAGUAGAGGUGGGCGGAAUUCGUGGUGUAGCGGUGAAAUGCUUAGAUAUCACGAAGAACUCCGAUUGCGAAGGCAGUUCACUGGACUGCAACUGACACUGAGGCUCGAAAGUGUGGGUAUCAAACAGGAUUAGAUACCCUUUUAGUC
rnacentral:rRNA from 1 species